rnacentral:rRNA from 1 species
GAUGAACGCUGGCGGCGUGCCUAAUACAUGCAAGUCGAGCGAACAGACGAGGAGCUUGCUCCUCUGACGUUAUCGGCGGACGGGUGAGUAACACGUGGAUAACCUACCUAUAAGACUGGGAUAACUUCGGGAAACCGGAGCUAAUACCGGAUAAUAUAUUGAACCGCAUGGUUCAAUAGUGAAAGACGGUUUUGCUGUCACUUAUAGAUGGAUCCGCGCCGCAUUAGCUAGUUGGUAAGGUAACGGCUUACCAAGGCAACGAUGCGUAGCCGACCUGAGAGGGUGAUCGGCCACACUGGAACUGAGACACGGUCCAGACUCCUACGGGAGGCAGCAGUAGGGAAUCUUCCGCAAUGGGCGAAAGCCUGACGGAGCAACGCCGCGUGAGUGAUGAAGGUCUUCGGAUCGUAAAACUCUGUUAUUAGGGAAGAACAAAUGUGUAAGUAACUAUGCACGUCUUGACGGUACCUAAUCAGAAAGCCACGGCUAACUACGUG